ACCUUAUGUUCUGGACAUUUCAUAAGCUUCUCCUUAAAUCUGCCCCAUGCUUCAUACAAAAGUUCUCCAUUGUGUUGACAAAAAUUUGUGAUUUCAUCAUGCAAUU